rnacentral:rRNA from 1 species
UACGUAGGUGGCAAGCGUUGUCCGGAUUUACUGGGCGUAAAGGGCGUGCAGGCGGUUUGUUAAGUCUAGGGUGAAAGCUCCCGGCUCAACUGGGAGAGGUCCUUGGAUACUGGCGAACUUGAGGGAUGCAGAGGAAAGUGGAAUUCCCGGUGUAGUGGUGAUAUGCGUAGAUAUCGGGAGGAACACCAGUGGCGAAGGCGGCUUCCUGGCCUGUUCUUGACGCUGAGGCGCGAAAGCUAGGGUAGCAAACAGG